rnacentral:misc_RNA from 1 species
CUCGGCAAAGCAUGCGGCGAAAGCGCUACUAGCAAAAGUUCCCGCGAAGGAUAUAUCGAAUUUAGCUUUGCUAUCGGUCACCAUUCCUAUCCGCAGAGAAGCAAGUAAAAUGAGAAAAACAGAGGGGCCGAUUAGACAAAAGACAGAAAGGAGAAAGGAAAGUGAGAUUGGUGCAAAUCGAAUCUCCAGAAGAGUGAGGAGUGUACAGGCCCGCAGGUUGUGCAACUGGGUCCUUUUCGU